ACGGGGAGCAGCAGGCGCGAAACCUUUACACUGCACGAACGUGCGAUAAGGGGACUCCAAGUGCGAGGGCAUACAGUCCUCGCUUUUUCCUACCGUAAGGAGGUAGGCGAAUAAGAGCUGGGCAAGACCGGUGCCAGCCGCCGCGGUAAUACCGGCAGCUCGAGUGAUGGCCACUAUUAUUGGGCCUAAAGCGUCCGUAGCUGGCCGAACAGGUCCGUCGGGAAAUCCGCCCGCUCAACGAGCGGACGUCCGGCGGAAACCAGUCGGCUUGGGACCGGAAGACCCGAGGGGUACGUCCGGGGUAGGAGUGAAAUCCUGUAAUCCUGGACGGACCACCGGUGGCGAAAGCGCCUCGGGAGAACGGAUCCGACAGUGAGGGACGAAAGCUUGGGUCACGAACCGGAUUAGAUACCCGGGUAGUCCAAACUGUAAACGAUGCUCGCUAGGUGUGGCACUGGCUACGAGCCAGUGCUGUGCCGUAGGGAAGCCGAGAAGCGAGCCGCCUGGGAGGUACGUCCGCAAGGAUGAAACUUAAAGGAAUUGGCGGGGGAGCAC
rnacentral:rRNA from 1 species